rnacentral:snRNA from 1 species
GGAUGUGAGGACAAUCUGGCUGUGACAGCUGUCACCCCAUUUAUCCCCAGGGUAGAUUUGGCUCCUCUGGCUGGCUAGGCAGGGGUCCUAUGUGCAUUCCGCUGGAAGCUGAGUGCUCACUCGGUGGAAGAGGUUGACCUUCCCAGAUAGAGGAGAACUGUCUUUUGUUCAAGGGGAUACAAGUAGCUGCGUUCCCUGCUAGAACCGCCAAACAAGCUCUCAAAGUCCCCCAAAUGAGCCCUAGAUGUUCAAAGAAAUGUAUACCAUGUACAUAAUAUAUCUCUUU